rnacentral:rRNA from 1 species
AGAGAGAGACAUGCGCGCAUAUCAAUAAGCGGAGGAAAAGAAACUAACAAGGAUUCCCUUAGUAACGGCGAGUGAAGCGGGAAGAGCUCAAAUUUGAAAUCUUCAAGGUUUUACCUUGACGAAUUGUAGUUUAAAGAAGUGUUUUCUGCUGAAGUUUUGGUAAAAGUUCUUUGGAAUAGGACAUCAUAGAGGGUGAGAAUCCCGUAUUUGACCAUUAUUUUCAGCUUUGUGAUACACUUUCAAAGAGUCGGAUUGUUUGGGAAUGCAGUCCAAAAUGGGCGGUAAAUUUCAUCUAAAGCUAAAUAUUGGCGAGAGACCGAUAGCGAACAAGUACCGUGAGGGAAAGAUGAAAAGAACUUUGAAAAGAGAGUUAAACAGUACGUGAAAUUGUCAAAAGGGAAGCGUUUGACACCAGUGUUGUUUUCUCGAAAAUCAAUUAAAAAUGGCUCGAUUUUGUAUUGCUUGAGACCUUAAAAGCUCACUGUACAUUUUUCGUGUCUUUUUUAAUGCACUUUUCGUUUAACAAGUCAACAUCAGUUUCUUUUGUUGUAAAAGGGUCAUUGGAAGGUGGCUUUCUUUUCGGAGAAAGUGUUUAUAGCCUUUGGCCUCUGCAAUCGGAGAGACUGAGGUCUGCAGCGUAGACUCUUCGGGGUUAGAUACAUUUGUGCUAAGUUAUAGCUUUUUAUAGACAACUUGUUGACUAUAAUUAGUCUUGUAGCUUACUCGCUUAUGCUAUUUUACCUACGCUUAGGAUGUUGAAGAUGUAGCACAUCAU